rnacentral:rRNA from 1 species
UACGGAAGGCAGCAGUGGGGAAUAUUGCACAAUGGGCGCAAGCCUGAUGCAGCCAUGCCGCGUGUAUGAAGAAGGCCUUCGGGUUGUAAAGUACUUUCAGUCGUGAGGAAGGUGUUAAGGUUAAUAACCUUAGCAAUUGACGUUAGCGACAGAAGAAGCACCGGCUAACUCCGUGCCAGCAGCCGCGGUAAUACGGAGGGUGCGAGCGUUAAUCGGAAUUACUGGGCGUAAAGGGCACGCAGGCGGUUAAUUAAGUUGGAUGUGAAAUCCCCGGGCUUAACCUGGGAAGGGCAUUCAAGACUGGUUAGCUAGAGUCUUGUAGAGGGGGUAGAAUUCCAUGUGUAGCGGUGAAAUGCGUAGAGAUGUGGAGGAAUACCGGUGGCGAAGGCGGCCCCUGGACAAAGACUGACGCUCAUGUGCGAAAGCUGGGGAGCAAACAGGGAUUAGAUACCCGU